rnacentral:lncRNA from 1 species
CUGCGCGUGAGGGGCGUGGUGGUUCACGCCUGUAAUCCCAACACUUUGGGAAGCCGAGGUGGGCAGAUCAUUUGAGCUGAGGAGUUCAAGACCAGCCUGGACAACAUGCUGAAACCCCAUCUCUACUAAAACUACAAAGAAUUAGCCAGGCAUGGUAGCACAUGCCUGUAGUCCCAGCCACUCAGGAGCCUAAGGCAGGAGAAUUGCUUGAACUUCCCCAGCUUCAAGAGGAAGAGUCUGCAGUGAGCCGAGAUGGCGCCACUGCACUCCAGCCUGGGUGACAAGAGUAAAACUCCCUCUCAAAACAAACAAACAAACCAAAAAAACAAAUAGCAACAGCAACCACAAUCAUCAUCACCAUCAAGGCUGGAACAAGGAUGAGGCAGGCAGGCUCUGAUAGCAACAGGAGGAAGCAGACCAAGGAGGGAGAGAAAGGAAGGCAGAGAAGGGGAAAAAAAAACACAAAUGAUAAUAAUAGAUGCUGACAUUUACGGAGCACUUACUAUGUGCUGGGAACCAUGCUGACGGCACACCGAAUCCACUGAACAGGUGGGACCUACUGUUAAGUUUUCAAGACCACCCAGAAAGAAAUUUGAAGUUGGGUUUAUAUCCUUAAUCCCUCAGUUAGAAAAAAAAGAAAAGUGAAGAAACUGCAUCUCCAAGAUCCUGCUAUAUCAACUUCAGUUUUUUGAAGUUAAAUUUGAUUUUUAAAUCCCUUGGCUGAUGAGACCUGUGUGGGUUUUUUUUUGUUGUUUUUUUGUUUUGUUUUGUUUUGUUUUAUCAUUGUACCUCUAUUUUAAAAAUAGAGACUUGUGGUUCUUUUUCCAAAAGCAGUCCAACAGAAAGUGAAUGGUGGUCAAUGCAUAAUAAAAUGAGAGUUACCUUUUGACUUGGAAGAAUUAUUAGCAUUUUGAUUUGAUGGGUUCUUAGCUCUUCAAAUUCAAAAAUACCUU